GGGCGGCCCGGUGCUGGUCCACAAAGUGUGAUGCUCCUGGUAGAAUGGAAGAGGGCAGCUGAGCCAGUUCCAGGGUGGAUACUGGGGCCCAGUCCUGCUGAGCACUGCUUUCUUCGGAAAUUGGCUCUGUAACUCUAAAGGGUGGGGCUCAAGAUAUGGUUCCUCCAACUGGCUGUAGACAUGCAAUGUCCCUCCAUGGGUCAGAGAUCAGAUCUGGCCCAUCUACAGCGAGAGAUGUCAUCUUCUGUCCUGGGCACCCACAUCCUAUUGACCAUAACCCUCAGCCUCAGCCUGCCAGUGAUGGAAACUCCAGGGGCCUAAAUGAUGAUAGCCUGUACAAGGUUCCUAGGUUAAGCCCAAAGGUGCCAGGAAGCCUGGGGUAGCUUCCUAAAUGGGCCAACAGGCAACAUGUAAGAGCCUCGUGUUUAAGAAGAAAUGAGCUUCAGAACCUGGAGACAAGCCCAAAGACUUGUCAUAUUUAGAGUUUACUCAUGCUUUUGAAAUGCAAUUCAUUGUUUAUCUAGACACUGCUUUGGGAUUUAACAUUAUUAGAAGGAAUGGGAGGUUCAGUUCAUAAAUACAACUUUUGUAUGUAAAUACAAGAAUGCUCUGCUUUUUCUCCCCAAAGUCUGCAUUUUCCUAGGAUUUUGAUCAAGCACAUGAGAGUUAAUCUAUAUUUCAUCAACGAGACUUAAUAAGACCAU